rnacentral:tRNA from 2 species
GCCCCGGUAGCUCAAUGGUGAGAGCGACACCGUGAUCUGGUGUAGUAGAUGUCGGUUCGAUUCCGGCCCUGGGCU